GGGUGAGGGACAGGCUGUGGCUGUGUCUGCCUGCACUCCAGCACAGCCUUUGGCACCCUCUCCCACGGCAUCUCCUGGAAAAGCUGCAGCUCAGGGCCUGGGCAGGUUCAUCCUCUCUGGGCUAGGAACUGGCUGACGGCCUGGCCCUGAGGGUGGUGGUGGCCACAUGCAGCUGGGAGCUGGCCACCAUGGUGUCCCCAGGGAUCAGUGCUGGGGCCAGCCCUGUUUAAAAUCUUUGUAGGGAGCUGGAUGAGGGGAACGAGUCUACCCAUGAUACCAUAGUGUAAAAAGGCCCCUGGUGUCAUAGCACUCAACCACUUCUUGUCUGAGAAAAACAAACACACAUAUUCUCUUCUUUGGAAAUUGUUUGUUUUGAACAAAGUCAAAAGUCUUUUGCAAUGGGAAGACACAAGAAGAAAUCACAAGAAAGGAAUAUCCUGGAGAGGAUUUUAAGAAGUCUUACAGUCACAUCUGUUUUGAAUCUGUCAUACUAGAUGGCUUUUUGUCGUACUAGAUGGCUUUUUGUCCCACCUCUGCUCAGCUGGCAGAGACUUUUUACAAGCAUACAGACCUUUGUUACCUUAAAACCUUAGAAUUUGCUUCACCAUUACAUGGUACAAUAGCAAAUAAGUUUUUAAUUAACACUUUGACCUCACUGAAGUCCAAAUUCUCCUUGCCAGCCCAAAGAAAAUAGUGUUUUAUAUCAAACUUAAGGCUUUUAUUGAUGCAAUGUAGUGGAAAAAAAAAAAAAAAAACAAAAAACAAAACAAACAAAACAAAACA